UAAUAUCAAAAGAAUUAUUUCAUCUAAAACCCUACAAAAAGUUGGACCACAAAGUAAACCAGACAAGAGAGGAGAGGUGAUCUACAUGUCUUUGCUGAGAACGUGACCUGGCAUUAGAAGUCCGAAGAUUCCAGAAAGCAUGGCAACAGUAGAAUCUCAGAAAAUUCAAUUCAUGGGCAAAAAUGCUAGCUGUGCCUGUCAAAGAUACUGGUGCACAGGAGAGGCAAGGAUGGGGCAUGGGGGUGACUGAAGCACUCAAUUAAACUGCUUGCUGGACAACAGAGGAAAUGGUUCCCAGUGGAUUGCAGGCCACUGGAAGAAAUAGUAAGACACAACUUCAUAGCUGUUUUAGACCUUGGCAGCAGAAAUAAACCUGGAGCAGAGGAGAACAGAAAUGUGUAAGCCUGACAAAACUACUUUAAUCCCCCCAGAAAAGAUAUAAAAUAAAGAUAAACUGAAGAUGCAUAUUUCUCAUCAUUAAGAAAUUCCUGCAUGGCUGAUUGCAACUUGAAGUAUCAUGAAACAAUGGCAGAUGAAUCCCACCAAAACUGUAUGAAGCUAUGAAGUUCCCAGAAAUAUCAAGUAAAAAUGUAAUUUUUAUCUGAA